rnacentral:tRNA from 11 species
GACCCGUUAGCUCAGUUGGUAGAGCAUUUGACUUUUAAUCAAAGGGUCGGGCGUUCGAAUCGCCCACGGGUCACCA